AGAAGCCUAUUAAGAUUCGGUUGGAAUUGAAAAAGAAGCAGAAAUAUUCUUUAUUUCUUGGAGUUCCUAAGCAUCAUCUUCUUCACUUAGGAGGAGAGUAAUUAACUGGACCACUGAGUUGUCUUUUCAUUUGUUGUUGUUGUUUUAUAUAAAGAAGAAGGCGAUCGAUAUUUUUUUCAUAACCAAGUAAUGAAAUUUGUCACUUAUUGUUGCACAUUUAGACAAGGUAGGACAAAAAAGUUAUGGAGAAAGAAGAAGUCCACGGAGCUUUUAACCAGCUAACAGAACAUGACCCUCAAGAAAAAGUGAACCAUCUACAGGUGCAUGGCUACUGUUGCAAACAGGUUUCAGAUUGGAGCUAAAUAUCUCUGCAUCACAGGCUAUAGAUAUAGAUGGAGCUCAUUUAUGGACAAAAUUUUAUUAAUAGUUUGACAGCUGAAGAGUUGUUGUAGAUCUUGAUAGGAGUGGUCCCUAAUAUAAAAUUAUACAAAAUAUAAACAGCCAAUCUGACAAUAAAAUAGUAAUUACUAAAGCAGAUAUAGGAAUUUUGAAUUACCUGAUGGAAUAUCUGGUGAGCUCCUCCACUUAGACUUGCAAAUUGCACUAUUAAAACCUGCACUUUGAAGACGUCUGCAGACCUCUUUCAUCAGACAAUUUUUGCAACCGUCAGCAUUAGUUGCUCUUCCGCAAUUACAGAUCAGAUUCCCCGACUGUUGUACUUCUUUUACUGCUUCUUUUGUGACAGUUCUGAUUUUUGAUUCUACAGAACUUGUUCUGCAUAAUGUACCCUGAACCAAUAACACUUCACAAAUGUUAAUACCAAUUAUAGUUCCUCCUGAGAGAUCAAAGGAUAUUCGAGACAACAAUUCAGAACAUCAGAAUAUCAAAGAGGACUUGUUAAAUGAAAAAAGGAAGUAAAUUCAUGCAAUAUUGUAAGGCUUGAACAUGAAUUUUCCGUUUCCACAUUCUUCAUUUGAUAAUUGAUAUUGCCGCCAUCAUUCGCAAGCUUGUUUAACUUUUGAAGUACUAUUUCUCAUUCUUCUUUAAGUAUACUUAAAAUUCUAUGUAAUGUGCUGAAUUUGGAGAAUCAAAAAUGGAAUUCAGGACCAUGCAUGACAAUUUUGUGGAUUUGAGGCACGUUGAUGAAUCAAAAGAAGAACAAUGCCUGUAAUUCUCAAAGAAAAACAGAUAGAGAAAGAAAGGAAUCUUACUUGCAACAGCUGAUUUUGUGAUUCCCAAAAACUUUUAUCUCGAUCAUUCGCUGGAACGUCUUUCUCUUCGUUAUUAUCGUCGUCCUGGAUUUCAUAUUCACCAUUGUCACUAAAGCUGCCAACCAACGACCCUUCACUUUCUUCAUCAAGAAAUCUGAAAACUGUAUCCGGUAUAUGGAUCGCGGGGUCACCGGAAUACUCAAUUUCCCGAUUAUCCCACGUCAAAAUCCGGUGAUUUCUGGAAAUUCUAGCCAUUGCUUCAGCCGUUGGUUUAUGCUGUCACAAUUUUUCUAAUAUUUUGGGUUGUCUUUCCAAAUCUUUGGAAAUGGGUAUAUAUACAAAGGCCAGACGGUAUGUGGGACCCCGUUAUCCGCUGUGGCACGAUCAAACCCUAGGAACAUGUUUGCCCUGCACUGCAUCUAGGUGGCGCCGUAUUAUUGGUUAAGCUCCAUCAAGUAAGGUCAAGUUCGGCGGACCAGACAGCCAGGAUCCACGUCAGGAGCUGGUCAAUUAUUUGAUCAACUCAACUCUUGAAGCUUGUGGAUAUGCUCGAAUAUUCGGGAAAUUGUAGUUUAAGGCUCUCCAGGGAAAAAAAAUGUAGAUCCCCCCUGAAUUUUAUACCUAUAUCUCAAAUUCAUACACCUAAACUACCUGAAAUAAUUUGAUUACAUUAAAUUGAUCCCUUCAAUACUUAUACUUUUAAUGCAAAUAUUGCAAUCUCACUUUAUUAUUCUUGAUUGUUUAUUUUAAACUGCGUAAUAUGUCAAUUUAACUUUUAAUUUCUGACAUCAAUUCAAGAAUGUGAACAACAACAAUGUUGAUACUUCAAUUGAGAGCUAAAAAAUUUGGGAACUAAAUCUUUCUAGUUGAGCUAUGAGCUAAAGUAAGCAUUUGUAUAGAGAAUAAUUUUUGAGCUCUAAUAUGAGUAGAAUGUGGUGAACAAUACACAUCUAAGAAUAAACUUUAAGGAAAAAAAUGUUUUGCUUUAAAAACCACGAGUGCUUUUGCAAAGUAGCCAUAGUUGAAGAACAAGCUACUUUUAUUACUUGAUAUAUAUAUAUAUAUAUAUUUCUAAAGAAAUUGCAAUUCAAUGUAAGUAAUGGGGAAAAAAAGAAAAAAAAAUGUAAGUAAUGGGGUCUUGUGGUACAAUGAGAUAGUCAGCAAGAAUAGAAGGGGCAAACCGCAUAUUUCCAAUCUUUAUGUUGCCAUUAUUUGGUCAUCCUAUCCUAAUCUUGAACUGGUGGGACCAACAAUAAUGUGGAAAUUGGAUCUCUAUUGAACGUGGCAGAAUCCUGAUCGUCAAUUCUUUAGGUUUAUCCAAUGAGGUGGGACCAACUGGGAUGCGCUACCUAACGUCAAACAACAAUGAUGUUGCCAUACGCGGCGUCUUGCCCAUGGUUUUGGUUGUCGGCCUAUGGACGAAACUGACCAUGGAUAAGUUCGAAAUUUAGAAUAUAGGUAGGGUAAUUCCGGUAAUUAAAAUAUGCGAUGAUUGGGAGUAAGAACGGAGCGAAAAAGGCAAAAACGAAAAAAGAUUAAAAAAAUGAGGAUGGCAUCUUCUUUAUUUUACAUGUGAAUAUUCUUUUUUUUUUUUUCAACAAAACAAACGGUAAUAAAAAAAAAAAAAAGAGGACGGCAUUGUCCCGUCAACGUCAAUAUAUAUUAGAAUUAUUAAUUUAAAAAUAAAUACUUAAGUAGAAUAAGUAAUCUUGCACCCAACAACAACAACAAAAAAAAAAAAAAAAAAAAAAAAAAGAAGAAGAACGUGAACUCUUGGAUGGAUUUAACAGUUGUGAGUAUGAUCAAUUCCAUCAGACUUCAAACAUAAAUUUAACAAGACUAAUUGGGUUUCCCAUGUUUCAUUCAUUUUCACGAAAGAAAAGGAGACCAAUCGUUGACACACAUGGAAUGAAUAUCCAUGGAUAACGUUGUUGCAAUCUCGUUAAUUAGUUCUUCAAAUGCCAGCUCCAUGCUACUUACACGGACGGACACGUACAUUCUGCAGGUUAACCUGCGAGCGACAAAUGCAGAAGUUAACGGCUGACAGAUUGCAGUUCUCGUCUUCCACGUAUCUUAUCAAUUUCAUUUUCAACCUUCCUGUUCUUUAUAUCUUUCGUCACUUCUCGUCCUCGAUUUAGUGGCUUACAAUUUUAAUUCUCAUUAAAAGUUCACGUGAUUUGACUUUGUUACCAUCGAUCAUAACAUGAGAAAUAAACACUGGUUCAUAACUUGUACUGCUAUGAUUCAUUCAUUUGCUAUUAAUGCAAGCUCAACAGAAAUUACUGGGGAGGGGCCAUUUUCUUUGAUUUCCCUCCAUAGAAACUUGUACCCUUCAGUUAGCCAGGUGUUGGCUGCAGCUUGGUUUCCAGUUUACACCUCUAGAUACAGUGGAUGAUGAAAUGUGGCAAAACCAUUCUAAACCUACCACAUGGGUGGGCGCAAAUACAUCAUUCAGCAUCAAAAGACAAAAUUGAUGCGACCAGUCACUUCAAUCAAAAAAAAAAAAAAAAAAAACUGAACAAAAGGUCUGUCUGGAUAAUAUGAUGGGAUAAUCCUCUAGCAUGUACCUAAACCAAUUGAGAAGACAAUAAUAAAAUAUCAGUUACCAGAUAAAUUAUCUUGCGUGCCAAUAGCGACCCGAAAGCAAUGAGGAAGCAUCUUUGAACCAUGACAUAUUAUUAAUUAAAGACAAUUUAAUUAGUUAAGGACAUCGCCUUUCCAAGAAUUUACUGGCAAUACGUGUAAGGCACCUAAAUUUAUUUGCUAUCAUGUGUAUAAUGUUGAAAACCAUAUAUUUAAAUUGAAGUAACUUUUUGUUGACAUUACAAUUUUCUUUAACAUAUCUUCAAGUGUAUUUUUAUGUAUGGUCUUAAAAAUGAAAAAGAAGGCUAUACUUUGCUUCUUUUUUUUUUUUUUUUUGUUUAUAAAGGAUUUCUAUAUGUUUGAUCCUGUGAUUCUUAAUUAGACGAUUCAAAUGUCAUAUGUGAUGUUGCAUGGAUAAAAGCUUAGUCGACUCUGAUGUGCGAAUGUCACAAAUACGCGGCGUCUUGCCUAUGAGAUAAGAGUACGAAAUUCUACCUGUCGGCAAUUAAAAUAUGUCAUGCGUGAUUAGGACAGACCGAAUUGAUAAGGGGGAAAAAAUAAUGGGAUGCCAAAUUGUAGUUGCAACCAAUGGUGUUAAAUUCGGAUCGGAUAGCGACUCCGUUAAACUAUUGGGUGGGUCGGAUUAGCGAACCGUUCUCAAAAACUUGCUGACGUCAACAUGAUGUUAUAAUUAUAUUGUAUUUUUAUAAGUUUCUGAAAUAUUGAAAUUAAGUUCUUGGUUAUAUUUGGCCAAUCAUGAAAAAUGUUCCAAAAAUAUUAUACUUGCAAUCAAAUAUACACCUUUAUAUAUAAAAAUGUAAAUUCAUGGUUAAAAUAUAUCCAUUCUCCAAACCUACUUGAAAAACUAAAUUAAAACAAAUUAAUGCAAGUUGGAACCACUGAAGCUAAAUUAAUGAGAUCAUAGGAAUGAAAACAUCUUGAUUUAGAGAUCAUUUAGGAAAGCGAGUAAUUUUGAUAUUUGUACUAAAUGGAUGACUUUUUUAUUUAAUAAAUGAAAAUGUUACAAUUUAGGUAACUCAAUUUAUAUUUGGGGAAAAGAAGAAAGAAAAGUUUGAAAAUCGGGUUAACCAGUCAAAUUGGGUCACUUGUUUAACCAAUUUUUGAUGGAUUUGAUUGAUUUUUUUAUUAAAGCGGUUUUAUACUAUAAGCUAGUUUGGAAAGAAGCCCGGUUUACGGUCGGACCGGUCGAUAUAGUCUGGGUCUAACAACACUAGUUGCAACGGUUAACGAAAUGAAGUUCUGGCUAAUUUCUGGACAUACAAUUCAUAGAAACUUGUACACUUGGUGAUCCAUUUAGGGCAGCAAAUUUAGCCAUGUGUUGGCAGCUAGAAACUUGUACAAACCGUUGAUUCAGCAUAAAAUGACAGAAGCUGGUAGGACCAGUUGGUAUACAUGACUCUCACCAUCAUUUCAGUAGAAAUUCUAACUUUUGUAGUCACAAAAAAAAAAAAAAAAAAAAAGAACGUGAACUUUGGCCCUGAAAUUAAUUUUCUAUUCACGGAUAUUUUUCAUUUGGUAAUUUCUGCAAACUUCGUGACCAAACUGCAUCUGGUAGCGGUUGGCGAUAAGCAUUCACUCAAGUUGCUUGCAGAAAAGAGUGAGUUAGUAAUAAACUUCUACCAUAUUAGAUGCUCGUUUUUAUGAUGGAGCAUUCAAGGUAGACGCACUCAGCUUGUGUUAACAAGUGAUAAUCUUUAAGUGCAAUAAUGCUGUCAAAGAGGUAAUGGAUAUUCUGAUGCGAUAAUCCUCUUGCAUGCACCUAAACCAAUUGCAUACGAUAUUACCGGAAAAAAUCAUCUUAUCUGUCAAUGUAAUAGCUACCAAAAGGAAUAAGCAACCUACCAUUCAUUCAGAAUUCCAUCAAAAUGGUUAUCUAUUAUGGCGUCCUCUGAACAUUAACUCCUUGUAUUGUAGGCCAAAAAUAGCGUAUAGAGUGAUCUUUUUGGCACUAUUAUCAAGAAGAAAACGUAACGUAUAGAAAUUGAAUGCUACAUGAACUCCAAAAGGUGAGCCAAACGAAUGCAGUUCAAGAUAUCCAUGAAGACGGAAUAAGGUUUUGUUUGGGAAUCAAAUCAACGUUUGACUACUUCUGCUCAGGUUUCCAGCAAAACAAAAUAAUUAAUGGCGCAACCAGCAGCUUUUUUUUUUUUUUUGUACUUUAGUUCUUAAAUAUAUGAAACAUAGUUGUGAGGGUCUGGAUCCUAUUAUUACAAGCUUACGAUUUUCUGACCCAAUUACAAUGCUGAUAGGAUUGCUAGAUUUAGAUAAAUGUUAAUUAAACCAUUAGAAUCUUCGUAUUUUAUGUCAAUUAAUUUGUGACAUAAGAGAAUGUUUGAUAAUGCAGGAUUUAAAUGUCAUAUUUGAUCAAUUUAAACAAAUCAUUGUUGCUUUCUUUUUUAUGUUUAGUCCACAGAUAAAAUUAAAUGUGUGGCACCUAAAAUUAUAUGGUACUAGAAUGUAAUGUUGAAAACCAUUACUUUAAGUAGAAAUUUUUUUGUUGUUCAAUUUACACUUUUUUUUUUAAACAUUUCUUAACAUCUAUUUCGUGUAUUUGCAUAAAGGCAAAUAGGAUCUUACAAUCCUACAUGUCCAGCCUUGUGAUUUCUAAAACCAUCUGGAACCAAAUUAUAGAAACCAUAUAAAAAUGAGAUGCUAUUUGUUUAGAUUUGAAGGAGUCGUGUAUGUCGUUGUUGGUGGAAACUACACUUUUGCUGAGUUUUGCACUGUGGUUUUGAUUUUUUCCCUAAUUAGAAAAAAUUAAGAAUUCAUGGGCAUUUUCUCGCACAAUUGUUUGCUGGACUACCUAAACAAAAUUAUUCACUUCUACAAAAUUAUCCUAGUGCCAUUGAUACAAUUGGUUAUUUUUAUUUUUGCUAAUACCUUUUCUUUCCCUGAAAAAAAAAAAAGAAUAAAAUCCCAAAUUCAAGUUCAAGAAAGAACUCUAAAUUUGACAUCAAAAUCGAAACUCUUAUUUCUACAUAGGAAAACUCCAAUGACGAAAAUUCCAAACUAAAUCCUUUUAAGUAAAGAGACCCUAGAAUUAUGAAAGAGAAAUGAUUGUUGCUGGACUGCCUAUUGUCCAGCUCCUCCACCUUGUCUGAGGAGGAGAAGAGAAGUUAAAAGGUUUGCUCCAAAACUUAAUUAAAUCCUCCUACCCAGCAAUUUGUCAGGAAAACAAAAUAUACCUUCCUAAAGAUUUGUUUGCGCCUAGCCUACCACACUCAUUAGUCUUCUCCUGGGGUUUGUGAUAUGAGUAUUAAUAGUUACAGGCGCUACAAAUGGUGGUUCAUAAAGUCUUGAUAAUUUAAAGAAUACUACUAAUCUGAUAGUGUUUUACAUUACAGAGAAAAUAUCCCUACUUGCACAGCUUCUUCUCCUCGUCUGUCUUUGGUGUAGUCUAACACCACCCACAACUUCUCUCUACUCCUGCAUCCACCAUGGCAGCCAUCCACUUUCUAUUACCAAAUCAAUAUCAAUCCACAAAUUACUUUCUCAUGGCACCAUUGAAUAAACAUAUUCAAAUUCUUGUUAAAUGUAUCAGGGAAUGGUAGAGUGCCACCAUUAAUCAAUUAAAAAUAGGAAAUGUAUAAGAAGAACGUAGGAUGGCAGGUAGGAACUGGGGUAUCAGUAGAGAGAGAGGCAAGGGAAUUAAAAAGAGAAAGAAAAGAGAGAAAAAAAAAAUUAAGGGAGGUGGUGAUAGGCAUACGGAGGAGGCAGAGGAGUAUGGGAUUGCAGGGAAGGGUGUUGGGAAGUUGGAUUUUGGGGAGUAGCAGGAGAGAAGGAAAAUAAAAUGAGAAACAUCUUGGUUGGAUAAAUAUUAACCGGAUUAGCCGGUAACCAAUAUUAGCCGAAGAGGGGUGGGAUUUAAGAAGCGGGAAGGGGAUGGAAAUAGCUGCGUAAAGAUGCAAUCUCCUCCGACUGCAACGUAUUUGUAAUAGCACUACCUAGGUAACACUUUUUAAAAAUAAGGUUAGUUUAGGCAACAACUGUUAUUAAACUUGCUUUAUUGGUCCGAAUCUCAGCUCUAAACUGUGUACUUACUCCUCUGCCUGAUUGUUGUGCACUGAGACUAGGAUAUAGUAUAGAUUAUAAUCGUGGAAAUCAACAAGAAGCACCAGAAAAUUUAAAUGAAUGUAUGUCCCGCUUCGAUCGAUGUUGUUACUUGAGCACCUUCCUCAACUUUUCUAUGCAUGAGUUCGUGCAAGGACACAACAGUAUGAGUUUUGAAUUCUUGAUCUAUCUAGGAAGCUACCAAAUAUGAUAGUGGGAAGUUACCGAUUCAAUUUAAAGCCAAGCUAUAGGUCUAAUUAAAGCUGUAAAUUUAGCAAAAGUAUGAACCUGUUAUCAAAUUUUAGCUAUUACUACAUCCCAGAUCACGUCUAUUCUAUUCUUGGCAGGAAAGAGUGUUAACAUGGAAUUCCAGCUAGAGCCCAUGAAAAUGUUUAUCACAGUUCAAAAACCUGCACUGUUACUGGAUGAGAAAAGACUAUAAAUUCGAGGUGGAAAGUGCAAAUCCCUCGGAACCUCAAAUAGCUUGAAAAAUGGUGUCUAAAAAUAAUCUAGUACUAUGUUUGACUUUGAUUAUGGCAAUAUUCUUCAUUUCCAAAUCACUGACAGCUUAUGCAGAUAAAGAUGUUUCUUCAGGAGCGGAAGAAACGACACCAGCUCAAACACCAAGUCAGCCAUAUCAAUUCAUUAAUGAGUUUCGCAACACACUUUCAAUAGACCGAGAAUUUUGCAUGAUGGUUCUGGCAUCAAAUCCCAGGAGUGCCUCGGCAAAAACUUAUGUUGAUCUCAUAUAUAUUUCCGUGGAUAUAGCAGUAAAAUAUGCAAACGAUACCGAAGAGUACAUGAUAUCUAUUCUGAACAAUACCGCGCGCAAUAAAAGAAGAAUAUCUUCCUGCUCUCAUAGAGUGCAUUUCUGACUACAAUCAAGGCCAAGAUUAUUUGCUGAAUAUAACUGGAAGUGAAGGAUGGUCCUGUAAUGGCAAGUGAUGAUGCACUUCGGGUGACAGGUUGUCAGCCUGUACAAUAAUAAAACCUGCUCAAAUUAAAAGUAAUUUCUGUAGAUAGUGGUGAGCAGUGUCGAAUCCACAGGGAUUGGGAGUAAUUGUUUCUUUUCAAAUUCACAGUGACAAGGGAGUGUUUUUAUAUCAGGGGUGACAAUUUAUGCAAUUCAACCAAAAGUAAAAUAAUAAAAAUAAAAUAGUCAACUAGAAAUUAAAUAACAAUUUACUAAAAUAAAAUGAGUGAUAAUUAAGGAUCUAGUCAAGGAAUAACUUCAGCAAUGGUUUACCUAAUUGAUCAUUGAAACAAAGGCAAUUCCAAUUAUUUACCAAUAAAUAGGUUAUAACUGUCAAACAAGCGAUGACAGUCAACCCCUCCUUACUGUGUCGGUGAUUAAGGUACGCCCGUUAAUCACUGUCCUAAUUGAGAAAUAAUCUUAGGUACGCCGAUAAGAUUUAAUUCCCCAAUUGCCUUACGUAUUAGAGGAGUCCUAUUCUAACCAAAUAACGCACUACUAGGGUUAUUUCAGAUUAGCCCGUAUAUCCCCCUGACACAAAUCUAAUCAUACUAGUUGUCACUAUUUCAAGGUAAUUAAACAAUUACGGAUUUAAUGCCCUAAUUGACAAUAGAUUACCAAAUUAACUAAUUAUCCGGAUUCAAAACAAUCAAUUAAUUAAAUAAUCAUAAGCACUGUAACCAGGGAAUAUGCGAAUACCAAUAAAUAAAAAAAAAGGUAAAAUUAAAUCGAUCUCAUAAUUUUAGGCGAGCCAAAGCAUCCGUUGCUCUUUAACUAGAAAAAGGGAUUUAACUCAUCCCUGGUUUACUCUUACCGAAAAGAAAAGAAAAGCAACUAAGAAUGAAAGGAAAAGUCAAAGGCUAAGCUUUCCUUGACAUGCGUAGGAAGUAAAAAAGAAGCCAAAAGGGAAAAGUUCCCCUUAAGCUAAAAGGAGUCCUCCCCUAUUUAAUUACUAGCUAAGCCCUCUAAGUGCGGCGGCUCCCAAUAGGAAGAAGAAGCCCUUCAGCCGUCCUUCCUUCACCGAAUUUAUCAAAAUGGGCGUAAUAUUUUCUUUUAAAAAAUGUCCUUGGGACGAGCUCUAUCAUUUAGAUUUUUUUUCUGUCAAAUUGACACCUGAUAUCAUAUUUUCGCCCUACUCCCUCAAAUAGAUGCAAAAUACUAAAAGUGAGUAGAAUUUAACAAUUAACCCGCAUCGGGUCAGGUAAUAAGGAAAAUUAAUAAUAAAAUAAAUGAUCAAAUUGCAACCUAUCAUCGGGCUUCUGAGCAGUUAGAAAAUUGUGAGCAAAUUUUGAUAUCUAGUAAUGUUGAAGAUCACUCACUUGCGGCCAAACACAAAUUUGCGAGAGCAUGUGUUCGCCUUUGUAUGGACCUUGCGUUUAAUAUUCGUUAAGUUGCACUUUGUGUGGACUAUUGCUACAAGUAUAAAUAAAUAAAAGUUAGUUUUUUUCCCUUUUUAGCAGGAAUACGUGGAAUUUAAGAGUCGGAAAAGAGAAAAAAGAAUUGAAAUUUGAGAUCUUUAGAUCUUGGAGUCUCGACCUAAUAAAUAAAAGCUUGUCGUCCCUACGUGAAAACGGGAAAAAGACUCAAUUGAUACAAACAAUUCGUUGUGUGUCUCUCUUUUGGAAGUCAAUUCGGAUGAUAAGUGCUGGCAAAAAUUCUAAGAAAAAAAAAGGUUCGGAUGGUAAGUAUUGGAGAUCUGCUUGACAUCAGGGUAUGGUUUCUCAAUGAACUCGAAGAAUCGAUGGAUAUCAUGAAUACUAAUUAGGUUUGUGUCAACGUUUUGUUUGAAUCUGAAACUCGGAAUCCAAAUAUAGAAGCAUGCAUCUUUCGACCCCGGGAGAAAAACAUUUGUUAUUGUGACGACCCCACCUCCCCCUAAGGCGUACCAAAGGGUUCGGCAGACCGCCUGCCCAGCUCUCGCCAGGACUCACUCCCUAUCUCAAACGAGUCAUGUACACACAUCCAUGAACCAUAAAUAACAUUCCCAAUUCAAGAUUAUAAUUUACAUUGAUAGAAAUCGAGGUACAAAGUCUCAAUACACCAAACUAGUUCAAAACGUAUACAAUCCAAGUACAACAUGUUCCAUUCGAGGAAUAGCGCGAGUACAAGACCAAAAAGUCAAAAGUCAAAACAAAAGGCUACGCUAGUCUUUUACAAGUCUCACGCGUCACUCGUACCCCUGAAAGGAAAACAAAUGGAGUAGAAUGAGCUAAAAGCCCAGUGAGGUUCCAAAUAGCAAAUUGACCAUUAUUUAGAAGUACAAGUUUUUGGUAUAGCAAAGUAACAAGCAUGAAGAGUUCAUAAAGGUGAGCAAUAACACGUCAAGUAGCAAUCUUAAAAUGAACGAAUGUAGAAAAUUUUUCAAAAGAAACAAUAAUCCAAUAAACAAUAAUUACUCCAAAGUAUAAGGAUACGGAUGACUCUCAGGAGCCAAAUUCCCAUUACAUUACCAGAAGCUUGAUCCCGUAGUAGUUGACACUCCGUCAACUUUCAAGUAAGUAACCAAUCCAGUAGAACACCACUUAAACGACUCUCCGUCCACCGUUCAACCCCCAGCUGGGCCCAAAAUCCUCAAGAACAUGGGUGGUAAUACUCGAGUAUACCGAUUAGUCGAGAAGAUAUCACUCCACUCGACAAUACAAGAGACCCAGGGUUUGUUACCCAAUCGACCAAGCCCUUGCCGGCUCGACUAGAGUAACUCGCCACAGGGUUUCUGGAAUUCCAGGAAGUGCGCGCAUCAUAAUCAAGUAUAUCAAGUCAAUUGCAACAAUAAACAAGUAUAUCACGUAAGGGCAAGUGCGAUAAAGUACACUCUUGCCCUAUCAAUUCACGUAUAUAACAUGUACUCAUAUUGGUCACGUAUCAAGUUCAAGUAUCUAGUGCAAUUCGGUAUUUGAAAGCACUCACCAAAAGAUAUAGUGCCUUUACUGGUCACUUUCAGGUUAUACUCCGGGUUCGGAGUCCAAAUCUGCGAUAAAACUCAGUUUGAGAACUUUGAAACAUGACUAAGAUUCGAAACUUAGACGUUUCGUUCAAUAAAAUCAAGAAAUUGAAAUUCACUCGGAUGGUAGUCGUGAAACACUUGCUCGUUUUUUAAAUGGUAAAACUUUGUAACAUUUAUACUUGAAAAUGCCAUGCAAGUCGAAAGUAUAAGGAAAACAUACUCCGAGCAAUCAUUAUUUCCUUUCUCAAGGGUACAAGUUCGGCCAAGUCCUUCCUUAUAUACCUCGGAACAAGAAUACUCAAGUACCCUAGAUGGUUCAAGCAGUAAUCACUCUUAACCCUUACUCAAGUUGCAAGUAGUUCUCUAGUUUUCGAGCGUAAAUUUGGGCAGCAUGCCCUUUGUAUUUACCUAAUUUUCCAGCCUUUUAGGCUUCAUUGUUUUUCUCAAACACAACCCAACAUCACAUAUGUCAACAAUUCAUGUCCAGAGCCGUUCCAUAGGCUCACAAUAUCAUAAUAACAAGAAUCACAACAAUGACAAGUGCAGAAAUUCAACUUAGCACAAGACAGAUUUGACGUACGAAUGCGGAAAUAACAUAUCUGAGGCUACGCUUAUCGGAUUGAGGCGUAACCUAUGCCGUUUCGAAGCUAAGACACAGAGCUACAAUGUUCAUGAAGGUCACUUAGUCCAGUUUCUAAUGUAAAUUGGUCAAAUUCUCCAAUUACCAAACCUGAAAUCAAUUCACCGGCUGUUUAAAUGCAGAACACUGUAAUGGACAUAACUCAGUGUACACAAGUCCGAAUCAGGUGUUCUUAGAGGCAUUUUAAAGCUACUUCAGAGCACUACAACUUUCAUGUUUUGGUCCAGAGCUAAAUCCGAAUGGAUCCUGGUCAAAAAUCAUGAUAAACUGGACUGAACUGAAGAAACGGACUACUGGGAAAUUCUUAAAGCAGUAGGGGUAUUUUGGACUUUUCACGUUCAGCGUUGCUCCGAUUGAGCUGAAAUUUUGUAGGCACCUAUAAAACACCAUUCUCUACAACUUUCCUUCUUUGACAAAAGGCCAAUUCGGCCUCUAACAUACAGAUACAAUUUCGGACAGAAUGCUUGGGAAAUUUUCCAGAAAUCUGGAAUUUUUAGCUCUAAGUGUAGUUUCCUCAAAUUUCUGGUUCCAAUCACCACUAAACAACCUUAUAUAACUUUAAUUGCAACAUUCAUGCAUCAUACAUCAACUUGAGCAGAAAAUCAGGAACCCUAGUUCAUCAAAUAAAUUGGGGAAAACAACUAAAACAUGCUCAUCAUCCAUAAUCUCACCAUAAAAUCAAGUUACUAGGCUUAAUAUAACAAGAUUAGAAGUAAAACUUGGAGAGAUAAACUCUCUUACCUUGAAUAAAAGUCACCAAGAGUAGCACAAGCUCUCCCCUUCAAGAAUCACACCACAACUCACUAGCUAGUCACUCAAGAACAAGUUUAAUCGGUUUAUUUUGUUUGAUUUCUCCCUAAGUUGUUGGAUUGAAGAUGAAAUGAAGGAGUUUUUUUUUUUCUUCUUGUUGUUCCUCCCCUCUCUCUCUCUCGGUUCUUAUGCAGAAAUAUGGAGGAAGAUGAGGCUUGGUUUGUCUUAUAUAGAAGUAAGAGGUUAAGGGUAAUUGUGUCCACAAUUUUUGGCCAACACUUGGCCUAUUCUUGUCCACAAAAUUUUUCUCUUUCUUUCCUUGUAUUUGAGCCACAAUUUCGGUCAAGCUAUAAUCAUGAGGGGGAAGAUAUUUUGUUCAACUUCAAUAAAUUUGUUUGGUAAGCAAAAAUGGUGGUCAAGCGGUGCGUUCAAUCGGUAAUGCGCGGGACCCGCCGGUUCGCGCCGUUUUUCUUAAAAACACCCGUACUAGAGUUUUUACUUUCCAUUCACUAACCUUAUCUCAUGGCUACUACUCACAUAUUAUUUCUCACUUAAAAGUCACUUUUAAUCAUCAAAUUGAUCCUUAGCCAGUACCGAAAUUUCAUCCGAUGGAAAAUCGAAAAACCCUAAUUUUGCUCAAAUCUUGAAACCGAAGCGGAAAACCCUAUUUUCUAGGUUCAUCUGCACUUAUAGUUAAACAAUUGGAUAGUAGAGCUUUAAUAAAUAAUAAUUUCCAAAUAAAAGAAAAUUUUUAAGAAAACGUGAGGAAUUUUCCAAUUCCAGUAAUUAAAAUUAGGGUUUCAAUUAAAAUAGGAGAGAUUUAGGAAAACCGGUUAGUCACAAGUAAACUAGGGUUUUUGGCUACAAUAUUAGGGUUUCUAGUCUUUUUAAAACAAAAAUAGGUUUUAAAUCAAAUCCAAAGAAAUACACUUUAAUAUUUUCUUCACAAACAACCUCCUAAUAUUCGGGAUGUUACAGUUAUUCCAUUUGGGUUCUUCUCAAUUAUUAAUUAGCAAUUCAAACAAACAGAAGAAUGGAGCAAUUGAUACUGGCUAGUGAUUAAAUUAUAAAAGACUCAUAAAAGAUGAUCUCUUCGCUCCAUUAUAAAAGACUCAUACUAGCUAGCACACAGUUUAAUUUGAUUCCUUAAUAAAACUGAUAAAAAGCCCGGAUCUAAAAGUGCUAAAAUAACAUACGUAAUUAGUCCAUGUCAGUGAAAUAAAUGAAGCAAUCAUAGGACUUUCAAUUAAGAAUUACUUGAUUAGUGAAUUUGUGAAGUACGAAGGAUUUUUGGCUCAACUAAGCGAAAACAUGCUCAACAGGUUUUAAUAAAUUUAGUUCUCGAAACUUUAUAAACUAAAACAACAUAGAGGUAAAUGUAUGUUAUUCCACAGGACUAUUACUAUAAGGAUUAAGUUUUUUAUACACUGAUUGUGUAGUGAUUUUUUUACAAAUCAGAUUUGGAUAUAUCCACAUGUGCAUGAUUUAAAAUUCAAAUUUGAAUUCAUACUGUGUAGCAUGAUCUAAACUUGCAAGUGUAAAAAAAAAAAUUAUACACUAACAUUGUAUAGAAAAGUUGUCCUUGAUAUAAUUCUCUAUCGAUGAAGUCCAAGUAAUUAUUCUUUAAAAUUGGAAAUUUUAAAGAAUUCUAAGAAAAUAUUCUAAAUCUAUUAUUGUUGGCAUUUAUACUUCAAAAUUCAGAUGUACAAUAUCUUUAGGUGAACCUGCAAGUUUCCUAAUAAUUAAUCAAAUUCAUGUCCAGUGCUAGUUAUACGGCAUUAUUGUACCAAAGAUUAAUCCUUUCCACUUACCAUAGGAUUAUAUUCAGCCACGCCUCGUAUUAAUUUUCUUGUGCAAUAACAACACGUGGGUGCCCAAAUACUGUUGUGGACAUGUGGUGCCUCUCAACAGUCCGACACUCCGACUAAUACAUGGAGUUUGUUUGAACACCUCAUGUGGCUGUAGCCCAAUUAAGUUGGUUUUUUUUUUUUUCCCCUUUGAAAACAAAUUAAGUUGGUUAAAAGCAUAAUUAGUACGGAUCAAGCAUUUGUUACUGAUUUCUGUCAAUGCCAAGAAUGCUAAAGCAUCGACACUCUUAUCAAUGCCAAUUAAUGCUUUAAUUAAAGACUAUCUUUUAGGUGAAUUUUGUUUGUCAGCAUGUUUUUCCUCGCCAAACUAUACAAUAAUGUAUAUAAUUAGGGGUUUGAUAUGACUUACAACUCAUGGCUAUACUGUGGGGACGACAUUACCCUGCUGGGAUCCUUGUCCAAAAAUUGCUUCAUGCCUCCCUUUGAGUAAACUUGCUUCUUCUGUCCGAAUCCCAGCGCUAUUCGUCCCAAUUGUUCAAUUUUCAAACUGAAGAUGUAAUAUAAUUGUGGCAGUCACCGAGAAGCAACAGAAUAAAGGAAUUGAGAAAAAUAACGUCCAUGUCCUUUUAGGUGUUGUUAUUUUUGGUGGAACGCCUUUCAAUUCCAAUUCCUACCUACUUUUGAAGCACCUCAGUCAAAAUAACUAAAUCAGCACCUCCUUCAACUGUUGUAUCCAUUCAUUUGAGAUAGGACAGUGGUGUAUGAGUUUUAGCCUCUUGAGUCUUGACCAUCUAGGAAGGAAUUAAAAUAUGGAAGUGAGAAGAUACCAAUUCUAUAAUCAAACUGCAAAACUUACAAGUACACGCCUAAUGGAAGCCGUAAAUUUUAGCUAAGUAUACACCUGUUAUUAAAUGUCAACUACUACGUCUAAUCCAUGCCUUUAAGGUCACCAAAUGGGAAAAUCCAGAAGUUGUUGAGCAAAGUAUGAUAGAUUUGAACUCAGGAGUUCUUCUCCCUGAUCAUGGCUAUACUAUUCUUGGGAGGAAACAGUUAAAAUGAAUUCCAGCUAGAACCCGUGAUAAUGGUUAUCACAGUUGAAACACAUGCAAUGCUACAGCAUGAAUAAGACUAUAAAUUUGUGGUGGAACGUGCAAAUCCCUUCUAACGUCAUAUAACUCGAAAACAUGGUGUCUCAAAAAAGUCUAGUGUCAUUGGUUGCUCUGUUUGUGACAUUCCUCAUUUCCAAGUCACCAACAGCCUAUGCAGAACAAGAUCAUUCUGAAGCAACGACACCGGCUCCAGCACCAAGUGAACCAAACCAAUUUGCUAAGGAAUUUUGCAGCAAAAGAAGUUAUAAAGAAGGACGAGAAUUUUGCACGAGAGUUCUGGCGUCAAAUCCCAGGAGUGCCUCGGCAAAAACUUAUGUUGAUCUCAUACGUAUUUCGAUAGAUAUAGCAGUGACAAAUGCAAACAUUACCAAAGAAUACAUGACAUCUUUGUUGAAUAGUCAUGCAACAGGGGGAGAAUUUCUGGAGGCUCUCAAACAGUGCAUUUCUGACUAUGAUACGGGCAUAGGUGACUUGCUCAAGAUAACUACAGAUAUGAGUUUUUACCCUCCACUGGCAAGUUAUGAGGCUUUUCUGGCUCUGGCUUCUGACCAGUUGGGCUAUUGUGAGGAAGCUUUGAAAUCUGAUAAUGUUGCCGAUGGCUCAAUUUUAUCCAAACAUGAAGUUGCCAAAGCAAGUGUUUCGCUUUGUGUGGACAUUGCGAAAUGUAUUAAUUAAGUUGCUUUUUUGCCCUUUUGUUGACUAUGCGAUGAGUAUAAAUUAAAUAAAAGAUUUGUUGCAAGUCUAUGCGAAAAAGGAAAAAGAAUUACUGUGUUAAAUGUUUUUUUUUUUUGUUUCUACCAUCUUUUGUGUCAAUUGAGUGCUUAAGAGUUCCUUUUUCUUGUACCAAAAAUGCCUUGGCCUAGUUCUCCGCAAGUUAAUACAGAUGAUUAAGUGUUCAAAAUCUGCUUUUUGUUGGGGCUUACUAAUAUUUCAUCUUGCGUCCCUCGGAGAAAGCCAAAACGAGUCGAGAACAAAUAUUGUCCUGCUCGUUCUGAAGCAGAUGUUCGACUGAGUACUAAAUUUGAUGCUUGAGAUUGACUUGAUAAUAUUCAGGGAAUUCAAGAAAGAAAAGGGUGCUCAAGCUUGAACUCAAUUAAAUGAUUAAUCAUAGGCAAAAUAUGUAAAUUAUCCAAAAGGUCUUUAAAGGAGUUUUGGUAAUUUUGCAUUAGGAGCUCUUCUCCCUGAUCACGGCAAUACUAUUCUUGGCAGCAAACAGUUAACAUGGAGUUCGAGCUAGAACCCAUGAUAAUGGUUAUCACAGUUUAAACACAUGCAAUGCUACUGGUUGAAUAAGACUAUAAAUUUGUGGUGGUUCGUGCAAAUCCCUUCUAACCUCACAUAACUCGAAAACAUGGUGUCUCAAAAAAAUCUAGUAUCAUGGGUUGCUUCGUUUAUGACAUUCCUCAUUACCAAGUCACCAACAGCCUAUGCAGAAAAAGAUCAUUCUUUAGCAACAACACGGGCUCCAGCACCAAGUGAAUCAUCCAAAUUUGCUAUGGAGUUCUGCAACAAAAUAAGUUCUAAAGAAGGCCGGGAAUUUUGCAUGAGAGUUCUGGCGUCAAAUCCCAGGAGUGCCUCGGCAAAAGGUUUUGUUGAUCUCCUACAUAUUUCGAUAGAUAUAACAGUGAGAUAUGCAAACAUUACCAAAGAGUACAUGGCAUCUUUGUUGAAUAGUAAUACAGCAAAAGGAGAAUUUCUUCCGGCUCUCAAACAAUGCAUUUCUGACUAUGAUGCGGGCAUACGUGAGUUGCUGCUUAUAACUAAGGAUAUGGUGGAUGAUCCUGCACUGGCAAGUUAUGAUGCUGUUGUGGCUUCUGACCAGUUAGGCUAUUGUGAGGAAGCUUUGAAAUCUGAUAAUGUUGUCGAUCGCUCAAUUUUAUCCAAACAUAAAAUUGCCAAAGCAAGUGUUUUGCUUUGUGUGGACGUUGCGAAUCAUAUUAAUUAAGUUGCUUUUUGGCCUGUGUGUGGACUAUUGCGAUGAGCAUGAACUAAAUAAAAGUUUUGUCGCAAAUCUUUGUGAAAAAGGAAAAAGAAUUGCUGUGUUAAAUGCUAUUUUUUGUGUUUCUACUAUCUUUUGAGUCAAUUGAUGCUUAAAGGUACCUUUUUUCUUGUACCAAAAAUACCUUAGCCUACUUCUCUGCGAGUUAAUUCCGAUGGUAAGUGUUCAAAAUCUGCUUGGCCUUCGGGCAUGGUUUUUCUGCAGUUGUAGGAUCCUUUUAUGAACAUUCUUGGGUUUAAAUAUUUCAUCUUGCGAUCCUAGGAGAAAGCCAAAAUUUUAGGGAAGCUCAAGUUUGAUCGAGUACUAAAUUUGAUGCUCAAGAUCGACUUAAUAAUAUUUAGAGAAGUUCGAAAAAGGAAUGCACAAUAUCUUUAUUGAACUUCCGAGACUCUUAAGAGGUCAAAUGCAUGUCCUGUGGUGAUCUGAUCAUACCUUUUUUGACACAAGACACAACCAACAUGGUUAAACUACUUCAAAUAGAUUGAUCUAGCACUAAUCCCACCAUCAACAGCUAAAUCAUGUGCACUUAUGUAGGCAGAUUCAUCUGAGGCAAGAAAUAGAGCAGCCUCAGCAACAUGUCUGCCGUUCAGGGAUUCUCCGUUGAGGUUAACUCGGUAACUUAGAAAUCUAUGAAUCUGUUCUGGAGCCAAUCUCGAAGAACUAGACACCAUUGGCAUGGCAAUACGCGCAGGAGAGAUGCAAUUAACUGUUAUUCCAAACUCUCCUAGCUGGCUCAACUGCAGCAGCUUUAACAAGACCUAUUACAGAUGCUUAGAAGCCUUAUAUGCAGCUGGACCUCCUGUAGACAGUGUAGCUUCAGUACUC
rnacentral:lncRNA from 1 species